AACGAACGCUGGCGGCAGGCCUAACACAUGCAAGUCGAACGCCGUAGCAAUACGGAGUGGCAGACGGGUGAGUAACACGUGGGAACGUACCUUUCGGUUCGGAAUAACUCAGGGAAACUUGAGCUAAUACCGGAUACGUGCGAGAGCAGAAAGAUUUAUCGCCGAAAGAUCGGCCCGCGUCCGAUUAGCUAGUUGGUGAGGUAAUGGCUCACCAAGGCGACGAUCGGUAGCUGGUCUGAGAGGAUGAUCAGCCACACUGGGACUGAGACACGGCCCAGACUCCUACGGGAGGCAGCAGUGGGGAAUAUUGGACAAUGGGCGAAAGCCUGAUCCAGCCAUGCCGCGUGGGGGAGUGAAGGUCUUCGGAUUGUAAACCCCUUUCGGGAGGGAAGAUGGAGCGAGCAAUCGUUCGGACGGUACCUCCACGAAGCAGCCACGGCCAACUUCGUGCCACGCAGCCGCGGUAAGGUCGUCAUGU
rnacentral:rRNA from 1 species